ACUUUCUACCCUACAGUGUGUAGCUCCCCAUCGGUAUUCUUCCACUACAGCAAAAGACUGCCCGCAAACAAUUGAACAAGAAGUUUUUAACAUCGAAGUGAAAAAUAUAGCUACACAAUUCACACCAACAUCUUUCAGGAGCACCUUUAAGCUAAUCUGUGUGCCAGCAGACUUUUAGCGUGACAUUUUCGUAUCUCGGACACAUUUCCCACGACUGUGUAAGCUGACUACUAAUAGUAGUAGUAGUAUUAGCAGUAGUAGUGCAAAGUCGUAAGUAUUAAAAGAAAGUUUUCCGUUUUGCCUCAUUUUGCGACCAACGUUGUACGAAGGUUUUUGCCUGUAACCUUUGCCGAUCAGCAAAGCUAAAGCUGCUGCAUGAAACGAGUACUUAAUGUCAGUAGGUAAUCACAUGUUGCCUAUUCAAUGUCAAUUUUCAGCCCUGUCCCCUCGAGUCUUUCGACCGAGGCUUUUCCGGCGCCUAUCAAAUAUCAAUCAUACAAUCGUUACAUUGCUUCCCGUGCACGAAGCCCACGCACGCCCCAUUUCCACCUUCACAAGCACACUCUAUAUUUUACGCAUCGUGAAACACACGGCUAUGGCGCAAAAAUUAACCUUCCCAAUCAAUACCAGCCGAAGAAUUAAACGUAGCUUAAAGCAAAUGUUACCGCCAAUUUGGGCGUUUAGGCUGCUACGCACUGCUGCUAUCCCUGCUCGGCUCAAUGCUCUGUUUCCAUGGAAACUAACAACGCACCCACUUCAGUCACUCGUUACACUACUCUGGGCAAGAAUGGUUCCUCACAAUGGCAAUUAUGAAUCCGCAAUUAUGUGGCCAUAACGCUUCGUUUCCCUGGCCGACAUAUGGCGGCGCCCUGGUACACGGAACUGUGCUUUCAUGCAUUCGUUCGAGCUUCGGUGCAAUUGAUGCAAAAUAUUCGACUUUUCGCAGGUAAAUAAGGUCGCCCAUAGCUACGGACCGCUCCGGUUUUUUGUCUGUUUUUUACAGCACCAGUGAUCACUCGUCCGUCUCGCACACAUGGCCAUAGUCGGUAGCAAUUCUAAUUUUCCGAUUUGAAUGCCGAUCACAGCACCGACUGACCCGAUGUUUUUCAACAACCGACUGGACCGCUUGUGUGUGCGUUGGUUCUGUAUCGUAUUUAUUUACGAUUUCCACUUUUUGUUUCCAAUGACUUUGGUAAGUGGUGUUUCAGCAAACCACUUGGCUUCGUAUUCUGUACAAGGAACGCGAAGGAGACACGCCGCAUUAAUCCAUCUUCAAUGAUGGAUGAUCGGAAGGGAAGAAUUAAUUUCGCUCGCGAGACACCGACUGCGAACUGGACCAGUGACGCAUUAACGCCCUUGCACCCGCGGUAUGUGCUUGGGGGAUGGGAAUACUUCCUAGCUGUCAAGGCUUUCUAUUCGAUUCUUCCAGACAAAAGCAUUAUGCAUCAAGCCAUACAGCGCACAUACAUAUUUGAAUACUACCGGCAUAGUCAAAAUGAAAUCAUUUCUGGUACAGGUUGGCCAAUAAUGCCAGACAAACGGAAGGCACUGCAGGUGUGCCGAAAUUUGUGUUAGUCUAGCUAAGUCUAUAGCUCAGCUUACAUUAGAAAUUCCUUGCUAUUUUUAUUCAUGAUCAUCAUGAUAACCGCUUAAGUACUAGAAUUCUUCUAAGCGUAGCAAAAGAGGCAAACCGAAAGCAAAAUAUGUAAAUUAUAGGCAAUUUCAUAAGGCAUAUUGAAGGCACCACAAAAGAGAUAAUACAAAAAUCAUUUUAUUUUAAUUACUACUCAUAAUUACUACAAGAUAAGCUGAAAUAUGAUGUUUUCUGUCCAAAACGGUUGGUAAUGAAUGUUGUGACUUGUGUGAAAUUAUUGUUAAAAUUAAUUGUAAAGCUAUUUAAAUGUGAAAGUAACCUAUAUCUAUCAAUUUGGUUGGUUGUUUGCUUUGGGAUACCGCCAAAAUGACAUUCAUUCCAUGACGCUUAUUCCAUAACAUUCCAUUCCAUAACACCAGGCCACACCGGACAACACUUCUCCAAACGCCAGCCUGGCAGCUAUGGUUUAUUUGAUUGUAAAUCGAUCGAGUUAUUAAUUAUAGGGGUUAAUGUAAUAAUAACAAAAGAUUAUAUUGAAAUUACAAACAUUUUAAGUAAAUCUCAUUGAAAAAUAUAUUCCUUAUGAGCGUAACUCGCUAGAUUAACACAACCAUUGAACAUUGAAUGUAUAAUAUGCAUAAACACAUAAAACAA